GACGAACCGUGCGAACGUUGUUCGGAAUCACUGGGCUUAAAGGGCGCGUAGGCGGCUUUUCAAGUCGGGGGUGAAAGCCUGUGGCUCAACCACAGAAUUGCCUUCGAUACUGUUAGGCUUGAGACCGGAAGAGGUGAGUGGAACUGCGAGUGUAGAGGUGAAAUUCGUAGAUAUUCGCAAGAACACCAGUGGCGAAGGCGGCUCACUGGUCCGGUUCUGACGCUGAGGCGCGAAAGCGUGGGGAGCAAACAGG
rnacentral:rRNA from 1 species